rnacentral:pre_miRNA from 10 species
CUGCCCAGGGAACCGGUUUCAGGUGGUGUUUUAGAGUACCAGAUCCAAUCUAGCACCAUUUGAAAUCGGUGUUCCUGAGCUG